rnacentral:lncRNA from 1 species
CAUCAUCUAAGAUCAAAUCCACCGUCUCUCUCACACUAAUCAACCAAUCGGAUCCAUCUACCCAGGUAUUUGGUUUGUACAUGAGAGCUAGAGAGAGGCAGAGCCAGUAUCGUGUCCGCUGCUUCUUUUCCAACCGUCCACCGUUACCUUUGUUGCACUAUUGUCUACAACAUUAGUUCUUUAGCCUUUACUGUCGUCGUCCUGGCUUUGGCCGGAAUCAUUGCCCCGUGAGCUGCCCCAAGCUGCCAUAGAAAACCCUCAAAACAAGUUAAUUUUUUUUUGGUUGAUUUUUUUAGGUUUCGUUUUUUUUAAGUGUUAUUUUUCUAUGGGUACCCUGAUUUUUUCUUGUUUGGUUUUAGGUGUUGUUUGCUUGUUUUGAGCUCUACACUCUUUGCUAGGAAUACUAAAGAUGGGCGCUCAAUAAUUUGGUAAGAACUUACCCAUUGUUCUGGGUCCGGGUUUUUUUUUUUUUUUGUGAAUUUUUUUUAAUAUUAUAUAUGUUCAUUAUAGACUUUUAUUUUAAGUUAAUUUUUGGGUUAUUGUUAUUGAAGGGUAUAUUUGUAAAAAAGAGAUUUAAGUAAUGAUCUAGAAAUCCAAGAGAAUUAGAAUUUAUGUUAUUGUUUACGAAAACCUUAAGGGUGUGAGUGACUUUUUUCAUUAGUUAAAUAAUUAAUAUCUUGCAUUAUUUUGAGUGGAUAAUAGUAGAGGUGGGUACCAUGCCCGAGCCAAUUGGCUCCUUGUGUAUUAUAUAAUUCAACAAUUGGUUUUCCUUGAGGGCUAAUGCUACAAUGCCGGGCAUUAAAGCCCCGGCACCAUGCCGGAAUUGGAAAAAAACCGUUGGAUUCAAUUAGAUUGAAUCCAACGGUUGAGAUUAAAUUUAUAGUAAAAAUAAAAAUAAAUGGGUUACCUGGUAAACCGUUCCCUCAAAAGAAAAUCCCACAAUUUUCUCUCACCUCAAUCCGAUUUCUUUGCUCUCUCAAAAAAGAAAUCCAUGAAAUCUCAUCUCUCUUUCAAAUUCAUAGUUUUUCUCAUCCCCAUUUUUUCACUCAUCAUCUAAGAUCAAAUCCACCGUCUCUCUCACACUAAUCAACCAAUCGGAUCCAUCUACCCAGGUAUUUGGUUUGUACAUGAGAGCUAGAGAGAGGCAGAGCCAGUAUCGUGUCCGCUGCUUCUUUUCCAACCGUCCACCGUUACCUUUGUUGCACUAUUGUCUACAACAUUAGUUCUUUAGCCUUUACUGUCGUCGUCCUGGCUUUGGCCGGAAUCAUUGCCCCGUGAGCUGCCCCAAGCUGCCAUAGAAAACCCUCAAA